UACGUAGGGGGCAAGCGUUGUCCGGAAUCAUUGGGCGUAAAGCGCGUGUAGGCGGCUCGGUAAGUCCGCUCUGAAAGUCCGGGGCUCAACCCCCGGGAGGCGGGUGGAUACUGUCGAGCUAGAGUCCGGAAGAGGCGAGUGGAAUUCCUGGUGUAGCGGUGAAAUGCGCAGAUAUCAGGAGGAACACCAAUGGCGAAGGCAGCUCGCUGGGACGGUACUGACGCUGAGACGCGAAAGCGUGGGGAGCAAACAGG
rnacentral:rRNA from 1 species